rnacentral:rRNA from 1 species
UACGUAGGGGGCUAGCGUUGUCCGGAAUCAUUGGGCGUAAAGCGCGUGUAGGCGGUCCGGUAAGUCCGCUGUGAAAGUCGAGGGCCUCAACCCUCGAAUGCCGGUGGAUACUGUCGGGCUUGAGUACGGGAGAGGCGAGUGGAAUUCCUGGUGUAGCGGUGAAAUGCGCAGAUAUCAGGAGGAACACCGAUUGCGAAGGCAGCUCGCUGGAACGUUACUGACGCUGAGACGCGAAAGCGUGGGGAGCAAACAGG